rnacentral:lncRNA from 1 species
GGAGCUUUCUUCAAUUCUCCAUCGGAAGCUUCCAGGGGUCCAAGAACCUCUCCUACUCUUUCCCAGAGUCUCUGAGAGAGGCAGGUGUUGGCCCAACCAGGCCGGCCCACAGCUUGUCUCUGUUGAAUCGCCUCCUGCAGGCUUUCCGUGUUGGAGCCAAAGCUUGUUACUCUGUCCACUUCCAACAGAUGGUGUUAGAGGUCAAGCGGUCAUUCUGUCUCAUCCUGCUGGUCCACCACUGAUUGCUGCCACUGGCUUUGUUUGGAAGUCUUUUAGGAAGACUACUUAUCCCACCAUGUCUGAUUUAUGCAAAAGCAGUGAUAAGACUGAAAGGGCUGGUAAGGAAAUGGGUAUGGCUAAGAGGAAAAAGGAAGAGGUGAUUAAAGAUAAUAGAUCAAUAUGGAGAAGCUGGAACCCUGGUGUGCUGCUGGUGGGAAGUAAAAAACUAAUUGAAGGUGGCAAGCACAUGGUGAGGUUGCAUGUGCUUCUGGGAAGUGCUCUGAAGGACAAAGAUCCAAUCAUGCCACUUGUUACAAUUGCUGGGCUUAUGGGACCAACGGCAACUAGAGAGACAAGGGACAUGGAUGAAACAGACAUUUCCUACAAGCCACACUGGUCACGUCACAGACUUGGCUGUGAGUUAUAACAGUGUGCGUUCUAAAACACCUGUGCAUGCCGGAGAAAAGUUAAACCCCCCCCCCCCCUUUAAAACAAUAUACUCAUCUCAGUAUUCAAUGUGAGAGUUACCUGUUUUCUAAGGAGAAUAAAAUACCCCACAUUAGAAUACCAGCAUAAGUCCACUUAUGUCAGCUCAGCCCCAGUCUCCAGACACAGAUUAGUUAUUUAUGCACAUUUUACCCACCUCACUGGACAGGCAGGCCUUGUUGGAAGGUGUGUGUGUGCCUACAAGGGGGAAGACCAAAGGACUACCAUUGCUCCAAAGCCUGAGCUCCACGUACAGUUGUUCAGGAUAUGCCCUGCACAAGGGUACCACAUACACAGGGAUGCCACUCCCAUUGCAGAUAUCUUCAUUAUUUUGCAAAAUAUUUAUUUAUUUAUUUUGUGCUGAGGAAGAUUAGCC